rnacentral:rRNA from 1 species
GACGAACGCUGGCGGCGUGCUUAACACAUGCAAGUCGAACGGUAAGGCCCUUCGGGGUACACGAGUGGCGAACGGGUGAGUAACACGUGGGUGAUCUGCCCUGCACUUCGGGAUAAGCCUGGGAAACUGGGUCUAAUACCGGAUAGGACUCCUGGUUUCAUGGUUGGGGGUGGAAAGCUUUUGCGGUGUGGGAUGGGCCCGCGGCCUAUCAGCUUGUUGGUGGGGUAGUGGCCUACCAAGGCGACGACGGGUAGCCGGCCUGAGAGGGUGACCGGUCACACUGGGACUGAGAUACGGCCCAGACUCCUACGGGAGGCAGCAGUGGGGAAUAUUGCACAAUGGGCGCAAGCCUGAUGCAGCGACGCCGCGUGAGGGAUGACGGCCUUCGGGUUGUAAACCUCUUUCAGCUAUGACGAAGCGCAAGUGACGGUAGUAGCAGAAGAAGGACCGGCCAACUACGUGCCAGCCGCCGCGGUAAGAC